rnacentral:rRNA from 1 species
AUUGAACGCUGGCGGCAGGCUUAACACAUGCAAGUCGAGCGGGGAAGGUUGCUUCGGUAACUGACCUAGCGGCGGACGGGUGAGUAAUGCUUAGGAAUCUGCCUAUUAGUGGGGGACAACGUUCCGAAAGGAACGCUAAUACCGCAUACGCCCUACGGGGGAAAGCAGGGGAUCUUCGGACCUUGCGCUAAUAGAUGAGCCUAAGUCGGAUUAGCUAGUUGGUGGGGUAAAGGCCUACCAAGGCGACGAUCUGUAGCGGGUCUGAGAGGAUGAUCCGCCACACUGGGACUGAGACACGGCCCAGACUCCUACGGGAGGCAGCAGUGGGGAAUAUUGGACAAUGGGCGGAAGCCUGAUCCAGCCAUGCCGCAUGUGUGAAGAAGGCCUAUUGGUUGUAAAGCACUUUAAGCGAGGAGGAGGCUCCCUUAGUUAAUACCUAAAGAGAGUGGACGUUACUCGCAGAAUAAGCACCGGCUAACUCUGUGCCAGCCGCCGCAGUAACAC